GUGGUUGCUUCGGCAGCACAUAUAGUAAAAUUGGAACGAUACAGAUAGGAUUAGCAGGGAACCUGCACAAGGAUGACAUGCAGAUUCGUGAAGUUCCAUAUUUUAAU